UAAUACCCGUGGCGGAUGACGGUACCGGAAGAAUAAGCACCGGCUAACUACGUGCCAGCAGCCGCGGUAAUACGUAGGGUGCGAGCGUUAAUCGGAAUUACUGGGCGUAAAGCGUGCGCAGGCGGUCCGCUAAGACAGAUGUGAAAUCCCCGGGCUUAACCUGGAACUGCAUUUGCGACUGGCGGGCUAGGGUAUGGCAGAGGGGGGUAGAAUUCCACGUGUAGCAGUGAAAUGCGUAGAGAUGUGGAGGAAUACCGAUGGCGAAGGCAGCCCCCUGGGCCAAUACUGACGCUCAUGCACGAAGGCGUGGGGAGCAAACAGGAUUAGGUACCCUGGUAGUCCACGCCCUAAACGAUGUCAACUAGUUGUCGGGUCUUCAUUGACUUGGUAACGUAGCUAACGCGUGAAGUUGACCGCCUGGGGAGUACGGUCGCAAGAUUAAAACUCAAAGGAAUUGACGGGGACCCGCACAAGCGGUGGAUGAUGUGGAUUAAUUCGAUGCAACGCGAAAAACCUUACCUACCCUUGACAUGUAUGGAAUCCUGCUGAGAGGUGGGAGUGCCCGAAAGGGAGCCAUAACACAGGUGCUGCAUGGCUGUCGUCAGCUCGUGUCGUGAGAUGUUGGGUUAAGUCCCGCAACGAGCGCAACCCUUGUCCCUAGUCGCUACGCAAGAGCACUCUAGGGGGACUGCCGGUGACAGACCGGAGGAAGGUGGGGAUGACGUCAAGUCCUCAUGGCCCUUAUGGGUAGGGCUUCACACGUCAUACAAUGGUCGGAACAGAGGGUCGCCAACCCGCGAGGGGGAGCCAAUCCCAGAAAACCGAUCGUAGUCCGGAUCGCACUCUGCAACUCGAGUGCGUGAAGCUGGAAUCGCUAGUAAUCGCGGAUCAGCAU
rnacentral:rRNA from 1 species